rnacentral:rRNA from 1 species
GUGCACUUCAUUGUGGCUCUAACCUUUUUAAAUAUACCUUUCACCCAUUUUAAACCCAAAGCUGUUAUGUGUGCCUCCUUGGAGGUAUAGCAUCUCAGCAGUACGCAUCAUGUGGAUUUAUUCACAAGUUGCAUUACCCCCCUUUUUUAAAUUAACGCUAUAAAAAGUUUUAAGAAUGUAAACCCCCUUUAAAUUAAUAUAACUUUUAACAAUGGAUCUCUUGGCUCUCACAUCGAUGAAGAACACAGUGAAAUGUGAUAAGUAAUGUGAAUUGCAGAAUUCAGUGAAUCAUCGAAUCUUUGAACGCACCUUGCACCUUUUGGUUAUUCCGAAAGGUACACCUGUUUGAGUGUCAUGAAACCCUCUCAUUCCAAUUUUUUUGUUAUGAAAAGAUUGUGAUAUGGAUGUUGGGUGUUGCCGUAAUUGGCUCACCUUAAAUAUAUAAGUACUUUUAUUGGAAAAUAAAUGGACAUACUUGGUGUAAUAUUUAUUAUUCAUUGAGGAGUGUAGAUGCCUUAAAAAUCACUACAGCCAUUUGACUUUUGGUAAAUAGCUUCCAAACCUAAUUAAAUUCAUUUUUUUAGACCUCAAAUCAGGUGGGACUACCCGCUGAACUUAAGCAUAUCAAAAGCCGGGAGGGAAUG